rnacentral:rRNA from 1 species
ACACGUCUACAUUAGACUACCCCCGUAGUCCCAGCCGUAAACUAUGCGCGUUAGGUGUAUCGGUGACCACGAGUUACCGAGGUGCCGAAGGGAAACCGUGAAACGUGCCGCCUGGGAAGUACGGUCGCAAGGCUAGAAACUUAAAGGAAUUGGCGGGGAGCACCACAACAGGUGGAGCCUGCGGUUUAAUUGGACUCAACGCCGGGAAGCUCACCGGAUAGGACAGCAGAAUGAUUGCCGGGCUGAAGACCCUGCAUGACUAGCUG